UACGUAGGUGGCAAGCGUUGUCCGGAUUUACUGGGCGUAAAGAGCGCGCAGGCGGUCGUAUAAGUCGAAUGUGAAAGCCCCCGGCUCAACUGGGGAGGGUCAUUCGAUACUGUUCGACUCGAAGGCAGGAGAGGGAAGUGGAAUUCCGGGUGUAGUGGUGAAAUGCGUAGAUAUCCGGAGGAACACCAGUGGCGAAGUCGACUUUCUGGCCUGUUCGUGACGCUGAGGCGCGAAAGCUAGGGGAGCAAACGGG
rnacentral:rRNA from 1 species